rnacentral:rRNA from 1 species
CAAUAGCGUAUAUUAAAGUUGUUGCAGUUAAAAAGCUCGUAGUUGGAUAUCUGGUUCGGAUGCCUGGCCCGCCUUCUCUGAAGUGUGUGUGCCGGUGCAACCGUUCCAUCCUUCCGAGGAGCAGAACCUUUACUGGUUUAGCGACUUGGAUCUUUUACUUUGAAAAAAUUAGAGUGUUCAAAGCAGGCGUUUGCUUGAAUACAUUAGCAUGGAAUAAUGAAAUAGGACUCCGGUUCUAUUUUGUUGGUUUUAGGAACCAGAGUAAUGAUUGAAAGGGACAGUUGGGGGUGCUUGUAUUGGGCGGCCAGAGGUGAAAUUCUUGGAUUCGCUCAAGACAAACUUAUGCGAAAGCAUUCACCAAGGAUGUCUUCUUUAA